CCUACGGGGGGCAGCAGUGGGGAAUAUUGCACAAUGGGGGAAACCCUGAUGCAGCGACGCCGCGUGAAGGAAGAAGUAUUUCGGUAUGUAAACUUCUAUCAGCAGGGAAGAAAAUGACGGUACCUGACUAAGAAGCCCCGGCUAACUACGUGCCAGCAGCCGCGGUAAUACGUCGGGGGCAAGCGUUAUCCGGAUUUACUGGGUGUAAAGGGAGCGUAGGCGGCGAUGCAAGUCAGAAGUGAAAGCCCGGGGCUCAACUCCGGGACUGCUUUUGAAACUGUAUGGCUAGAUUGCAGGAGAGGCAAGUGGAAUGCCUAGUGUAGCGGUGAAAUGCGUAGAUAUUAGGAGGAACACCAGUGGCGAAGGCGGCUUACUGGACUGUAACUGACGUUGAGGCUCGAAAGCGUGGGGAGCAAACAGGAUUAGAUACCCGAGUAGUC
rnacentral:rRNA from 1 species